rnacentral:rRNA from 1 species
ACGCUCGACACCUACGGGGGCAGCAGUUGGGAAUAUUGGACAAUGGAGGAAACUCUGAUCCAGUGACGCCGCGUGAAGGAAGAAGGUCUUCGGAUUGUAAACUUAUUUUGUCAGGGAAGAAAAAUGACUGUACCUGAAGAAAAAGCACCGGCUAACUACGUGCCAGCAGCUGCGGUAAUCUGAGCGGGCUGGCAAGGC